rnacentral:rRNA from 1 species
CUACGGGGCGCUGCAGUAAGGAAUAUUGCACAAUGGGGGAAACCCUGAUGCAGCAACGCCGCGUGGACGAAGAAGGCCUUCGGGUCGUAAAGUCCUUUUCUGAGGGAAGAGGAAGGACGGUACCUCAGGAAUAAGUCUCGGCUAACUACGUGCCAGCAGCCGCGGUAAAACGUAGGAGGCGAGCGUUAUCCGGAUUCACUGGGCGUAAAGGGCAAGUAGGCGGUUGUUUAAGUUAGGUGUGACAUCUCUCGGCUUAACUGGGAGGGAGCGCUUAAAACUAGGCAACUAGAGGGCGGAAGAAGGGGGUAGAACUCCAAAUGUAGCGGUGGAAUGCUCAGAUAUUUGGAAGAAUACCAGUGGCGAAGGCGACCCCCCGGUCCGUGCCUGACGCUGAGAGGCGAAAGCUAGGGUAGCGAACGGGAUUAGAUACUGGUAGUC